GUCACAGCCUGGCUGUGGCUUUGUGCUCCUGGAGCUGUAGGUGGGGAUGCUAACCCUGGCUUCCAAGGAUCUGAAGAGGAAGCUGCGGCUGUGACUGUCCCUUUUCGGUCUGUCUUCAUCCUGCCUGACUCACGGGUCUCCUGUCCUCCUGCAUAGCUUGCGGUGGUGAGGUGAUGGCAGCCAUGGACACAGGCCAGAGAGCUGACCCAAGCAAUCCUGGUGACAAGGAAGGGGACCUUCAAGGGCUGUGGCAGGAACUCUACCAGCUCCAGGCUAAAUACCUUCUUUGCUGCCUGGGAGAUGCUGCUAUGGGCGUUUAUUUGAUCUGCUUGUGGCUCAGUUUGCUCAGCAGUGAAAUGAAGGUGCAGAGACUCCUAAGUCUAUGGCCAACUGAUAAAGUGGUACGUGGCCGGCCCAGUGCACGUCCAAGCAGGAGAUCACAGAGGGUGGUCCAGGUUCAUUCACAGGGGGUCCUGCGUGACCUGGGAGCCUCCAGGCCAUGUUCCUGCAUCUGGCUCUACAGGCAGAAGAAGCUCAAGAGAGAAGUCGAGAAGCACAAGCUUUUUGAAGACUAUCUGAUUAAGGUCCUUGAGAAAAUCCCCGAGGGUAUGUACACAGCUUCCUCGGAAAGCCCUUUCUCUCCACAGCCACCUACUGGCUGCAGGACUGCGACACCGUGUGUGGCCUCAUGGAGCCACGAGCUGCUCAUCUACAGAAUGGGAAUCCACAAAGGCCAACCCCACAGUAGUGGGGAAGGGCUCAGGCAGCCGAGUCUGACUGCUUGGUCCCAACUCCAGCUCCACUGUCGCUAACAGUGUGGCCUCUGGCAAGUUCUCAAGGCCUUGAUUUUCUUAUCUGUACAAUGGGAACAGCAAUAAUUAUGUGGACUAGAUGAAGUCAUCCUUUAUAAGCACAGCACAGGGCCCCACAUUUAGCUAGUACCUGGUAAACGUUGGCCAUUAUUAUUA
rnacentral:lncRNA from 1 species